rnacentral:rRNA from 1 species
GAUGAACGCUGGCGGCGUGCCUAAUACAUGCAAGUCGAGCGAACAGAUGAGGAGCUUGCUCCUCUGACGUUAGCGGCGGACGGGUGAGUAACACGUGGAUAACCUACCUAUAAGACUGGGAUAACUUCGGGAAACCGGAGCUAAUACCGGAUAAUAUAUUGAACCGCAUGGUUCAAUAGUGAAAGACGGUUUUGCUGUCACUUAUAGAUGGAUCCGCGCCGCAUUAGCUAGUUGGUAAGGUAACGGCUUACCAAGGCAACGAUGCGUAGCCGACCUGAGAGGGUGAUCGGCCACACUGGAACUGAGACACGGUCCAGACUCCUACGGGAGGCAGCAGUAGGGAAUCUUCCGCAAUGGGCGAAAGCCUGACGGAGCAACGCCGCGUGAGUGAUGAAGGUCUUCGGAUCGUAAAACUCUGUUAUUAGGGAAGAACAAACGUGUAAGUAACUAUGCACGUCUUGACGGUACCUAAUCAGAAAGCCAAGGCUAACUACGUG